rnacentral:hammerhead_ribozyme from 1 species
AGAUAGCUGAUGAGUCCCAAAUAGGACGAAACGCGCGUCCUGGAU